rnacentral:tRNA from 1 species
CGGGAAGUAGCUCGGCUUGGUAGAGCACUUGGUUUGGGACCAAGGGGUCGCAGGUUCGAAUCCUGUCUUCCCGA